rnacentral:rRNA from 1 species
AACGAGCGCUGGCGGCAUGCCUAACACAUGCCAGUCGAACGAUACCUUCGGGUCUAGUGGCGCACGGGUGCGUAACGCGUGGGAACCUGCCCUUAGGUUCGGAAUAACUCCCCGAAAGGGGUGCUACUCCCGAAUAAUUUCUACGACCCAAUGUUUAAUGGCCUUUGGAUGGGCCCGCGUUGGAUUGGUUGGUUGGUAGGGUAAAAGCCUAGCAAGGCGUCGACCCAUAGCUGGUCUGAGAGGAUGAUCAGCCAGACUGGGACUGGGACACGGCCCGGAGUGGGGCGGGAGGCAGCAGGGGGGAAUAUUGGAGGAUGGGCGGAAGCGUGAUCGAGCGAGGCCGGGGGAGUGUUGAAGGCGUUAGGGUUGUGAAGCGCUGUUACCCGGGAUGGUGGUGACGGUAGCGGGAGAAGAAGCGCCGGCUAACUCCGUG